UACGAAGGGGGCUAGCGUUGCUCGGAAUCACUGGGCGUAAAGGGUGCGUAGGCGGGUCUUUUAAGUCAGGGGUGAAAUCCUGGAGCUCAACUCCAGAACUGCCUUUGAUACUGAAGAUCUUGAGUUCGGGAGAGGUGAGUGGAACUGCGAGUGUAGAGGUGAAAUUCGUAGAUAUUCGCAAGAACACCAGUGGAGAAGGCGGCUCACUGGCCCGAUACUGACGCUGAGGCACGAAAGCGUGGGGAGCAAACAGGG
rnacentral:rRNA from 1 species